AAACUAUGAAAAUCAAAAUUAAGCUUCUAACUUAAAUUUUAAGCGAUGAAAUUUCGUUUAUAGUUUU
rnacentral:tRNA from 1 species